UGUCUUCCCAGGUGCCAUUGGCACAUUGAAGGAACAAAUCCAUAUUAUCCAUUUCUGAUCACCGACUAUAGGAAGUUUUGUAUCUAUCUCUACUCUGGAAAAAAAUAAGACAAGUAUACAAUUUUAAAAUCAACAAUGCCUCAAAAAGUGAAAAAGAUAAGAACAGUUUAAGAGAAUUCAAAACAAGAAAUUGUAGUUCAUUACUGGACUUGAACUCAAAUUGGUGUCAAACUAACCUAGUCCUCUUCACUGACUUGCAUUAGAGUAAUAAAAAUCCUAUUGUAUCACUAUCAACUUCCAAGUUCCAAUUCCAAACUUUGAGAUAUAAGCAUCUACAGAUAGCCUUUCACCAUUAAUACCACAGAGAAUUCAACCCCAAACCUUAAUAGGUGGAGUUGAACACACCACAUUAAAGGUCAUGCCAAAUUUAUACACAACCAAGGUGGGAUCUCCUUACCAAACAUCAAGUAGUGGAACAACGAGAUUCAUGGAGCAUCAAAACCCACAUUUUCCUUUUACUGACCAUUGCAACAGGAUGCUUAAACUUUUAUGUUAAACAAAAUAACUAGUAAAAGGUCCCGAAUAACAACCAAUAAAUCAUAGAAGUAAUAUUUGUCAAAACCAAAUAAUAAAUGUGAGUGCAACAAGAUUUUAUUAAACAAGUACACAGUUCUUACUUCUAGGCACGAGGGUACUACUUACUUAUUCAUGUAGUAACAAGGUGCA
rnacentral:misc_RNA from 1 species